rnacentral:rRNA from 1 species
GAUCCUGGCUCAGGACGAACGCUGGCGGCGUGCCUAACACAUGCAAGUCGAGCGAGUGGAUUUCCUUCGGGAAUGAAGCUAGCGGCGGACGGGUGAGUAACACGUGGGCAACCUGCCUCAUAGAGGGGAAUAGCCUCCCGAAAGGGAGAUUAAUACCGCAUAAGAUUGUAGCUUCGCAUGAAGUAGCAAUUAAAGGAGUAAUCCGCUAUGAGAUGGGCCCGCGGCGCAUUAG